AAUUUAUUUAUGUGCGCACUUGUCAGGAGGAGAAAGGGACGGGGGGAUCUGUAUGCGCCGAGGACACCGCCGCCGCUGAAAGGCGGAGGGGAAGGGAGAAUGGAGCCAAACGCCCCGGAUCCCGCUGCCCCCCUGGCAGCUGAAUGCCUCCGGUGGCCGUGAACUUGGAGGGGCCGAAAGCCCCAUUCCCAGGCCCUCGGCACGUCAGCGGGGCCGCCCGCGGGUGCUGCCGGCAGCGGGGCUGCGGGGCUCCAGAUGGGUCCGGCCGUGGCGCUCUGCCCUCCCCAGCGCUGCCCCGCAUUGCCGCGGCGCGGGGAGCACGUCCCAUGGCAACGGUACAGUAGCAGCGGCACAGCGGGGGGCUGGGAAGAGAGGCAAAGCCCUCGGAAAAAUACAGGAUGGGUCCAGACAAUGGCCCCCCUCUCAUAUCAUAAAUUACACGGCGGCGACAAAAGGGGGACGGAUGCUGACGCUCCCUCGCUCCCCGUUCCCAAAGUCCCCGCGCUCGCUGGGCGCCGUGGGCAGGGCGGUGGAGGAGGGAUGCUGUGGCACCCAUGGGCGCCGUGCUCGGGGAGAAAGCCUCAGCCCUGUCCCCACCUGCAGCACGGAUCCUUCGCCCCGCAGCAGCCCCGCUUCCUGCCCCAAAACGCUCCCUGAGCGCCCGCUGCCCAGGCCCCAGGCUCGACCCCGACACCGGGACCAGCUCCUGCUGCAGAAGGCUCUCCCUUCGGAAAAAAAGGCCUUUUUUUUCCCCUCCCAUUUCCUCUCUGCAGCUCAAGGGCCAGAGCAUUUUGCAUUUAUUGCUGAUGGCUCGGUGCCUCUGCACUGCUUCUCCAAACCAGCUUCUGCCUGGCGAGGGCUGGGGGUGGACGCACGCAGCUCCCCAUGGGACGCGGGGCGCUCCCCAAGCCCCCCAAGCUGCCAGCAGCAUCAGGCCGAAGGAGAAGGGGCUCAGGCUGCACCCACCAGCAUCAGAGGACUCCCUGCUUGGCUCCUUUCCUCCCUGAAAGCGCAAAGAAGCCUCAAAGCCUGUGCGCGGUGGCGCUUCCUGACCCUCUUUGUGCUGCACGGAGGCACCUCCCAGGAGCUCAAACCUCGCUGCAGAGAGCUGGAGGAUGGCGAAGGAGGACAGCAAAGGAGGCCUGAGCCACGUGAAAAGCACCGAGACGUCUUCUCCAGGCAGAGAUGCACGAGGUCUUCUGGUGGCGCCAAGGGCCGUGGCGCAGCGCUGGGACGCAGGAGGUGGGAAGGACGCCGCUGGCAGGCUUGGAGGAUUGCGAGUUAACAAAACAGCUUCGAGAGGUUUUAGGAGACAAACCCGGGGGUGUGCGAGGAGCCGAGGAGGCAUCCUGGAUGACGAGUGAGGCGCUGCCCCCCCUGAUCCCCGCAGCCAGUGUCGCCUGCACCCAUCCCCGAGCUCCUGCCGUGGGGAAGCCCAGCCCGUGCCGGAGCCUGCUCAGCCCUCGCUGUGCAGAGAAAACCUUGAGAAAUAAAUUCACUUACCAGGAAAUUCCCCGUGAACUC
rnacentral:lncRNA from 1 species